GACGAACGCUGGCGGCGUGCCUAAUACAUGCAAGUCGAGCGGACGGAUGGGAGCUUGCUCCCAGACCGUCAGCGGCGGACGGGUGAGUAACACGUGGGCAACCUACCUGUAAGACUGGGAUAACUCCGGGAAACCGGGGCUAAUACCGGAUAACUCUUUCCCUCACAUGAGGGAAAGCUGAAAGAUGGCAUCUCGCUAUCACUUACAGAUGGGCCCGCGGCGCAUUAGCUAGUUGGUGAGGUAACGGCUCACCAAGGCGACGAUGCGUAGCCGACCUGAGAGGGUGAUCGGCCACACUGGGACUGAGACACGGCCCAGACUCCUACGGGAGGCAGCAGUAGGGAAUCUUCCGCAAUGGACGAAAGUCUGACGGAGCAACGCCGCGUGAGUGAUGAAGGUUUUCGGAUCGUAAAACUCUGUUGUCAGGGAAGAACAAGUACCGGAGUAACUGCCGGUACCUUGACGGUACCUGACCAGAAAGCCACGGCUAACUACGUG
rnacentral:rRNA from 1 species